UAUGCCCAUAUCAUGUUGAAAUACCAGUUCUCAUAUGAUCACCAAAGUUAAGCAAUGUUGAGCCUGGUGAGUACCUAGGUGUGCAACUGCUUUGGAAUAUCAGAUGCUGUAAG